UGGGGAAUUUUGCGCAAUGGGCGAAAGCCUGACGCAGCAACGCCGCGUGAGUGAUGAAGGCCUUCGGGUCGUAAAGCUCUGUCAGAGGGGAAGAACCGCCUUGUGGCUAAUAUCCACGAGGUCUGACGGUACCCUCAAAG
rnacentral:rRNA from 1 species